rnacentral:rRNA from 1 species
CCUACGGGAGGCAGCAGUGGGGAAUUUUGGACAAUGGGCGAAAGCCUGAUCCAGCAAUGCCGCGUGAGUGAAGAAGGCCUUCGGGUUGUAAAGCUCUUUUGUCAGGGAAGAAACGGUGAGAGCUAAUAUCUCUUGCUAAUGACGGUACCUGAAGAAUAAGCACCGGCUAACUACGUGCCAGCAGCCGCGGUAAUACGUAGGGUGCAAGCGUUAAUCGGAAUUACUGGGCGUAAAGCGUGCGCAGGCGGUUUUGUAAGUCUGAUGUGAAAUCCCCGGGCUCAACCUGGGAAUUGCAUUGGAGACUGCAAGGCUAGAAUCUGGCAGAGGGGGGUAGAAUUCCACGUGUAGCAGUGAAAUGCGUAGAUAUGUGGAGGAACACCGAUGGCGAAGGCAGCCCCCUGGGUCAAGAUUGACGCUCAUGCACGAAAGCGUGGGGAGCAAACAGGAUUAGAUACCCUGGUAGUCCACGCCCUAAACGAUGUCUACUAGUUGUCGGGUCUUAAUUGACUUGGUAACGCAGCUAACGCGUGAAGUAGACCGCCUGGGGAUACGGUCGCAAGAUUAAAACCUUAAAGAGUAAGUUCGACGGNGAGAGAGACGACGACGGACGACGACGGAGGGAGGAG